rnacentral:rRNA from 1 species
UACGUAGGGUGCGAGCGUUGUCCGGAAUUAUUGGGCGUAAAGAGCUUGUAGGCGGUUUGUCGCGUCUGCUGUGAAAAUCCGGGGCUCAACUCCGGACUUGCAGUGGGUACGGGCAGGCUAGAGUGUGGUAGGGGAGACUGGAAUUCCUGGUGUAGCGGUGGAAUGCGCAGAUAUCAGGAGGAACACCGAUGGCGAAGGCAGGUCUCUGGGCCACUACUGACGCUGAGAAGCGAAAGCAUGGGGAACGAACAGG